AUAUCGGAUUUGCAUUUAAGUUAAUAUUGUAGGUAAUGUAAAAUAUUUUAAAGCUGCUUUAUAUUGACAGGUUUGUUUUACAAGUAGAUUAAUGCAUUUCAAUUGACGUGACGCAUUCAAUAUCGAUAUUCUAUUGUUGUGAUCAUAUUUAAGAUCAUAUUCCAACGUUAACCCGUUUUAGACCAGCGGCAAGUCAUGAACUGUUUACUAUGGUUUACAGUAUAAUACAAGUAAAAUGGUUUCCUGCGGGGAACAUUUUUAAUGAUAUAAAGAUAUUUCAUUUAACUAUUUUCAACAUUGUUUGGGGGAUUAAUAAACGUUUGUACCAGGAAUAAAGUUGACAAUAAUCGAUCAAUAUAGAAGAGGUCUUUGGAAACUGGUGACCGUUGAAGACCUGAGACCGGAGAAGGUCGAACAUAAAACAAUUAUGUCUUUUUAAGAAAAUGAUUAAAUACCAUUUUCUGAAUAAUUCCGAGCAAAAAAAUAAAGUAAACACACAAGUUUACGCAGAAAAUAUCUCUAUUUAGUAUGGCAGAUGCCACUACGAAUAUUUUAAUUUUGUAGAUUUUCAGUAUAAUCAAUUUAUUGUUUGUAACAUUUGAGAUAGAUAUUAAAGAAACAUUGAUAAUUUUCAAACACAUCAUUCAAGUUUUUCCUCUUUAAACGGUAAAAUAAUUAUAGAAAAUUAGAAAUAUCACGUAAUAGUUUUUUGUUGUUGUUAAUUAGGUGUUCUCUAGAGGUAAAUCCGUAACGUACCGGCAAACGGUAUUUAGCUAGGUUUUCGAAAAGGUCAAUUAACCAAUCAUGUACGGUUUACAGAUCACAUGCUCCUCCAUGUACCGAAAACAGGUCCCGCGCUCCUCCAUGCCUCAAAAGUUAAACGCGUACCAAUACCCUGCGGUCUCCAGACCGCAGGGAAUAAUCGACUGUGCAUUCAUAUCUAUGAGGGAAGAAUAUGAAAUAUUUCUAAAAAUACUUGGGAAAGAUUAGGCUAAAGCUCAAAGAACUUCAACUAAGUAUGCUUCGGUCUGUCUGUUUUAAGAACUUCGUGAAGUUUAAAGAACAUCAGAGGAUGGACUUUUCAAGUGAUGGGCCUUUUAUCCUUAUCGGGGAAAAUGGUUCAGGCAAAAGUUCCGUUUUAGAAGGUAUCAGGCGGUGUUUGGAAUUGAAUCUGAGUACAUCAUUUUCCUCAGUGUAUAAUCCAAAUGAGAUUUCUUAUUUCAUUUGCAAUGUUGAGGCUGUUAUUUCAAAAAAUAAGAAAAAUGUAAUAUUCGGUAUCGUGUCUAUACCUGGAGAUACGGAGCAAAGUACAGAAAUGCAAAGACGUAAUACCGAAGAAAUGAUGGAAGCUGAACAUUAUUCAGACGAAUCUGAAAUAGAAGGAAAGCACAUUGGACAUAGGAAGAUGAGUGUUGACGAAGACAAAAGAAGUCCAACUGGACGCAGAAAACUAAAUGUUGAGGAAGAAUUGGCAAUCCAACAAGUAAAAACGACAAAGAGUUCCAAGCAUAGAAACGCGUAAGU